GAUGAACGCUGGCGGCGUGCCUAAUACAUGCAAGUCGAGCGAACAGACGAGGAGCUUGCUCCUUUGACGUUAGCGGCGGACGGGUGAGUAACACGUGGAUAACCUACCUAUAAGACUGGGAUAACUUCGGGAAACCGGAGCUAAUACCGGAUAACAUGUUGAACCGCAUGGUUCAACAGUGAAAGACGGUUUUGCUGUCACUUAUAGAUGGAUCCGCGCCGCAUUAGCUAGUUGGUAAGGUAACGGCUUACCAAGGCAACGAUGCGUAGCCGACCUGAGAGGGUGAUCGGCCACACUGGAACUGAGACACGGUCCAGACUCCUACGGGAGGCAGCAGUAGGGAAUCUUCCGCAAUGGGCGAAAGCCUGACGGAGCAACGCCGCGUGAGUGAAGAAGGUCUUCGGAUUGUAAAACUCUGUUAUUAGGGAAGAACAAAUGUGUAAGUAACUAUGCACGUCUUGACGGUACCUAAUCAGAAAGCCACGGCUAACUACGUG
rnacentral:rRNA from 1 species